rnacentral:rRNA from 1 species
GGGUUGUGAGGUUAAGCGACUAAGCGUACACGGUGGAUGCCCUGGCAGUCAGAGGCGAUGAAGGACGUGCUAAUCUGCGAUAAGCGUCGGUAAGGUGAUAUGAACCGUUAUAACCGGCGAUUUCCGAAUGGGGAAACCCAGUGUGUUUCGACACACUAUCAUUAACUGAAUCCAUAGGUUAAUGAGGCGAACCGGGGGAACUGAAACAUCUAAGUACCCCGAGGAAAAGAAAUCAACCGAGAUUCCCCCAGUAGCGGCGAGCGAACGGGGAGCAGCCCAGAGCCUGAAUCAGUGUGUGUGUUAGUGGAAGCGUCUGGAAAGGCGUGCGAUACAGGGUGACAGCCCCGUACACAAAAAUGCACAUGCUGUGAGCUCGAUGAGUAGGGCGGGACACGUGGUAUCCUGUCUGAAUAUGGGGGGACCAUCCUCCAAGGCUAAAUACUCCUGACUGACCGAUAGUGAACCAGUACCGUGAGGGAAAGGCGAAAAGAACCCCGGCGAGGGGAGUGAAAAAGAACCUGAAACCGUGUACGUACAAGCAGUGGGAGCACGCUUAGGCGUGUGACUGCGUACCUUUUGUAUAAUGGGUCAGCGACUUAUAUUCUGUAGCAAGGUUAACCGAAUAGGGGAGCCGAAGGGAAACCGAGUCUUAACUGGGCGUUAAGUUGCAGGGUAUAGACCCGAAACCCGGUGAUCUAGCCAUGGGCAGGUUGAAGGUUGGGUAACACUAACUGGAGGACCGAACCGACUAAUGUUGAAAAAUUAGCGGAUGACUUGUGGCUGGGGGUGAAAGGCCAAUCAAACCGGGAGAUAGCUGGUUCUCCCCGAAAGCUAUUUAGGUAGCGCCUCGUGAAUUCAUCUCCGGGGGUAGAGCACUGUUUCGGCAAGGGGGUCAUCCCGACUUACCAACCCGAUGCAAACUGCGAAUACCGGAGAAUGUUAUCACGGGAGACACACGGCGGGUGCUAACGUCCGUCGUGAAGAGGGAAACAACCCAGACCGCCAGCUAAGGUCCCAAAGUCAUGGUUAAGUGGGAAACGAUGUGGGAAGGCCCAGACAGCCAGGAUGUUGGCUUAGAAGCAGCCAUCAUUUAAAGAAAGCGUAAUAGCUCACUGGUCGAGUCGGCCUGCGCGGAAGAUGUAACGGGGCUAAACCAUGCACCGAAGCUGCGGCAGCGACGCUGAUGCGUUGUUGGGUAGGGGAGCGUUCUGUAAGCCUGCGAAGGUGUGCUGUGAGGCAUGCUGGAGGUAUCAGAAGUGCGAAUGCUGACAUAAGUAACGAUAAAGCGGGUGAAAAGCCCGCUCGCCGGAAGACCAAGGGUUCCUGUCCAACGUUAAUCGGGGCAGGGUGAGUCGACCCCUAAGGCGAGGCCGAAAGGCGUAGUCGAUGGGAAACAGGUUAAUAUUCCUGUGCUUGGUGUUACUGCGAAGGGGGGACGGAGAAGGCUAUGUUGGCCGGGCGACGGUUGUCCCGGUUUAAGCGUGUAGGCUGGUUUUCCAGGCAAAUCCGGAAAAUCAAGGCUGAGGCGUGAUGACGAGGCACUACGGUGCUGAAGCAACAAAUGCCCUGCUUCCAGGAAAAGCCUCUAAGCAUCAGGUAACAUCAAAUCGUACCCCAAACCGACACAGGUGGUCAGGUAGAGAAUACCAAGGCGCUUGAGAGAACUCGGGUGAAGGAACUAGGCAAAAUGGUGCCGUAACUUCGGGAGAAGGCACGCUGA